AUUGAACGCUGGCGGCAUGCCUUACGCAUGCAAGUCGAACGGUAACGGGCCUUCGGGUGCCGACGAGUGGCGAACGGGUGAGUAAUGUAUCGGAACGUACCUUUCAGUGGGGGAUAACGUAGCGAAAGUUACGCUAAUACCGCAUAUUCUGUGCGCAGGAAAGCAGGGGACCUUCGGGCCUUGCGCUGAUUGAGCGGCCGAUAUCAGAUUAGCUAGUUGGUGAGGUAAAGGCUCACCAAGGCGACGAUCUGUAGCGGGUCUGAGAGGAUGAUCCGCCACACUGGAACUGAGAAACGGUCCAGACUCCUACGGGAGGCAGCAGUGGGGAAUUUUGGACAAUGGGGGCAACCCUGAUCCAGCCAUGCCGCGUGAGUGAAGAAGGCCUUCGGGUUGUAAAGCUCUUUCGGCCGGGAAGAAAUCGUAUGGGCUAAUACCCUGUGCGGAUGACGGUACCGGCAUAAGAAGCACCGGCUAACUACGUGCCAGCCGCCGCCGUAAAAC
rnacentral:rRNA from 1 species